AUUGAACGCUGGCGGCAGGCCUAACACAUGCAAGUCGAGCGGAUGAAGGGAGCUUGCUCCUGGAUUCAGCGGCGGACGGGUGAGUAAUGCCUAGGAAUCUGCCUGGUAGUGGGGGAUAACGUCCGGAAACGGGCGCUAAUACCGCAUACGUCCUGAGGGAGAAAGUGGGGGAUCUUCGGACCUCACGCUAUCAGAUGAGCCUAGGUCGGAUUAGCUAGUUGGUGGGGUAAAGGCCUACCAAGGCGACGAUCCGUAACUGGUCUGAGAGGAUGAUCAGUCACACUGGAACGGAGACACGGUCCAGACUCCUACGGGAGGCAGCAGUGGGGAAUAUUAGACAAUGGGCGAAAGCCUGAUCCAGCCAUGCCGCGUGUGUGAAGAAGGUCUUCGGAUUGUAAAGCACGUUAAGUUGGGAGGAAGGGCAGUAAGUUAAUACCUUGCUGUUUUGACGUUACCGACAGAAUAAGCACCGGCUAACUUCGUG
rnacentral:rRNA from 1 species